UUAUAUGGUCAAGAAGAGAAGCGCAAACGGUGGAUGCCUUGGCAGUAAGAGGCGAAGAAGGACGUGGAAUCCUGCGAAAAGCUAUGGGGAGCUGGAAACGAGCGUUGAGCCAUAGAUGUCCGAAUGGGGGAACCCGGCUGCAGCGAUGCGGUCAUUUGCAUUUGAAUACAUAGGAUGCAAAGGCGAACUCGGGGAACUGAAACAUCUAAGUACCCGAAGGAAAAGAAAUCAAGAGAGAUUCUCCAAGUAG
rnacentral:rRNA from 1 species